ensembl:lncRNA
GUUCUGAUCUGGGGGUGACCCUAGGUGGGGUUCAUCUCCCCCUGAGUGGGCUGUCGCCCCUAAAGUGGUGCCGGGAGCUCGAGGGGAGGCUUUGCUGCCACAGCCAUGGGUCAGGGGGUAAGGAGCCGGCGGGGGGCUGGCGUGCCCACCCCAGGGAGCAGCUCUCUGUCGUCGUCACCGCCGUUCCUAUGCUGGCAGCCAUUUCCCCCUCGCGCUGCUCUUGCUGCGUGCUUCAAGUUUAAAAACCAAACCCUUCUGCCACAGGUGCCCAUCGGGGCACGGACUUGCUGGUCGCUGCAUGCUGGGGAUCCCCUCGGCAAAUUCGGGGUGACCCCACGAGCGGGACACCGGAUCCCUCGUCCCACACUGGUUCUGGUCAUCCCCGCGGGGCCGCUGAUGCCCGCUGAGUCCCCCUCCCGCCCCGUCUGUCCUCCGAAUAAAGUGGUAACACCUGACUUAUUUCCCACUUUCCCCCCCACUUUGAAGAUGGCAUCGACAGCAACAGCCACACGAGCGAGCCCCAGGGCACCACCCAUCCGUACAUCAGGCGGCCUCAAGCCCGAGGUCAGAUCCCGCUAAGAUAGGGAGAGUGUUGGACCAAGAACACCCCGUCCUGCACCAGGGUAAGGGUCGGGGGGGGGGGCCGCUGGCAGCACUGCAGCUGUGCUGGCCUGACUCCUGCUGUUUCCACGCUGCUCGCUGUUCCUCCCCACAGAGAUGAAGCUGCCGGAAACAAAGCCAGAAGAACCCCCCCUGCUCCUGCCUACAACGUUCCCCCUCCCAACUACAGCACACCCGCUCCCCCCUACAACAUCCCCCCUCCCCUCCCCCCGCCCCCCACCUACAACGCACCCCCGGCCGGUUACGGCGCGCCGCCGACCGGCUACACCGCUCCUGCCUACAGCGUGCCACCAGCCAGCUACAGCGCCCUGGCCCCGGGUUACAGCACUCCCCCCCCCUGCCUACAGUGCUCCCCCUGCCUACAGUGCUCCCCCCACUGCCUACAGCACCCCUGUCCCCCCCACCUACGACACUCCCCCGGGUGGCUACAGCGUGCCGGACCCCUCGCAGCCCCGGCUGCUGCCGCUGCAGCCCCGCAAACGGCCAUACGAGGAGCAGCGGGGCCGGGGUUAUUACGAGCACCGUGAGGACAAGAGGGGCCGCUCACCGCAGCCGCCCGCCGAGGAUGAUGAGGAGGAUUUCGACGACACACUGGUGGCCCAUCGAUACUUGUGAGUGCCCCGAAAAGUGGCAUGGGGGUGGCGGGAGAAACCCCCCACCCCGGGUUGGGGAGCCUGACACGCGGCUUCCAUCCCCCACCUCCAGACAACUGCGACCUGCACUUCAAAGUCGCCCGGGACCGGUACAGCGGCUACCCCCUCACCAUCGAGGGCUUCGCCUACCUCUGGUCGGGCGCCCGUGCCACCUACGGUGCACAGCAGGGCCGUGUCUGCUAUGAGAUGAAGGUGAGUGAUGUCGGGUCCCGCCAAGGUGUCCCGGCACCAGCGAUGCUGUCCCCAACCCCUUCUUCUCCGUCCAGGUUAAUGAGGAGAUCUCCGUUAAGCACCUGCCUUCUACCGAGCCAGACCCCCACGUGGUGCGGGUGGGCUGGUCGCUGGAUUCCUGUAGCACUCCGGCAGGGGGGGUUGGGGGGGGUCUGGGGGGCUGCCAAGACGCCUGGGUCUGCUGGGGUGACUCACAGU